UAGUCCUUGAAGAUACAGUUUUAUUUAAUUUGUUUUGUGAUUAUUUUUUUGUUGUUUUGAGUUCUUUUGAGUUCCAUUAAAAAAAGCUCAUCUUAGGAAACUGGUUUCCUAAGAUGAAACGAUUGAGUGUAUUGAAGAAAACGCAGUUUUCGGUAUAAAGAUUUUUUUUUAAAUUAACUAUUCAUUUAUUUUCUUUGAGAGGUAAGAUUAAAUUAUCAUUAUUCUUAAAAAGUAUAUAUCUUUUUGUAGUCUUUUGGGAGCAAAAUACAUUACACUAAAAACAUGUUCAACUUACGCAACCUUCCCCUACUGUAUUCCUUAUAUUUUGUUAAAUUCCGUGGCAUUUUACAAGUGAAUAAUUCAUCAGAUCUUAAAGAAUAUAUAUUUUAAAUUAGAAAAUAGAUAAUUCUUUAUAAAAAUUUUAGCUGAGGUACUCAUAUCAAAGUCGUAGAAAAAAUCUCCUGAACACAAAUUGUUUAAAAAAUAUUUAUUUCGCAUUUAUUCACAGCUACAUCAGUUAAUAUAACAUAAUCUGGGCAUGAUCUUAUCCAUCAAAAUUAAAUACAAUCUACAAAAUACAAUAACAAAUGGUACGCAAGUAUCUCCCAUAGAAAAAGAAAUCCUAUAGUGAUACCAAUCUCCAAUUGGUUAUCCAAGCUGUUAGAGAUGGCUGUUAAAUAUUAACGGCAUCAAAAAACAUUUGAAGUACCGUAAUUAACGCUGAAAGAUAAUAUAAAUGGACGUCAAUAAUUAAGUUCUGUAGAAAGAAAAUUAGUGUUUACAAAGCAACAGGAACAAGUAAAAAAGACUUAUUUUUACAGAUCGUGGACUUCCAUUGAAAACGUUGAGGUUGAGUGGUUGAGGUAUAGUACUCAAUUAUAUGCUAAAAAACUACAUUGUCGUUGAUUACUUCAAAACAAUUUGCUCACUGCAUGGUCAAUCUCACUCAGAUAUAUAAAAAAACAAAAAAAAAACAAGUGGCUCAAGAAAGAAAAGGAAUUUUUUGCCCAAUAAAAUAAAAUUAUAUCGCUCAAAAAAGAGAAAAUCCCAUGGAUUAAAAUCAUUAUUAAAUCAAAAGCUACCGUGUAUAUCAAAAGCUUAUAACAGAAACAAAAAACAACUUACUGCUGUGUGUGCGGUGUGACAUUGGGUGGAUUAAUCAGAAGACUGGCUUCAAUGCGUUUCUUGUCAAAUAUGCGCAUGUGAAGUCUGCUUUUGCAUUAACAUGUGCGCAAAAUGCGCUUAAUUCGACAAAAUAUAAUAAAGCUCUAACUCUUUUUAAUUAGGCGAAAUCGCCCCAUAUAAGUGUGUAACACAAAUCGGUGUUCAUGGGUAUAAAUAAUUUUUUUUUUUUGAAUUUUUAAACGCUAUUGAACUAAAUAUAGUUUAUUCAAUAUUAUUCUGCCAUUGGUAUGAACAGACAACAUUAAAGCAGCAAAAGUGGCAAAAUCGCCACGGUCUACCCUAUAUAUAUACGCAGUGGAUAGCCUACCGAAAGUCGGUAGCGGAAAAAUAGAAUUAUCCUACAGAAAGUUUUUUUUUAUUGGUUUAAAAAGAUCAUGUCACAAUAAAAUAGCUAAAUAUAUUUAUUUUUAAAUUA